CAAAAAGUCCAAUAUAUUUUUUAACGCUAUGUUUUUAGUAUUGGUCGAUCUAAAAAGACGCGAAGUUCUCACUCUUCUCCGCAUUCGUUCUUCAAUCCAAGGGAAGUAAUGGAGUUAAGACCAAUGGUGGCUUUGAGGGCUGUCCUCGUGGGUGGCAUAGCUGCAUUUGCAAAAGUGGGCGCGGCAGUGAAAGCUGCAGGAGGUGUCAAGGUGGGUGCUGCUGCAGCUGCCAUGACAGCAGCUGCAACUGCUGCUGUUUCAGGAACAAAUCCAGAAGGAAAGAGCACUUCCCAGAAUGUCUCAAAGUGAUAAGUUAGCGCUUAGUGUCAAUGGUUUCUGCAAGAACUAUUGCCAUAAUUUUAUUUGGCUUUUCUGAGUUACAAGAAGUAAUUAGAAUGCAGGGAAAAAAAAAAAUCUUUGAAUUAUCUGCUAUAUUUCGAUAAAAGAAAUCCGGAUGGCUUCCCGAUGUAUUCAGGACUAUUUCCCUUUUAAUAUAUAAAUCAGGAUUAGGCAGGUGAUCUGGUUGAGAUCCCUAAUUUUCAUUAUCACCCUCUGUUUUGAGAUCCUUAUACUGCCAUCUGUAAUUAUGACAUAUGUUGGUGACUAUAUUUGAUACUUUCUUCUGAACUGGUUAAUCUCACAAUCUUUUUGGAGUACUGUCUUGGUGUUGUAUUCA